GACGAACGCUGGCGGCGUGCUUAACACAUGCAAGUCGAGCGAUGAAGCUCCUUCGGGAGUGGAUUAGCGGCGGACGGGUGAGUAACACGUGGGUAACCUGCCUCAUAGAGGGGAAUAGCCUUUCGAAAGGAAGAUUAAUACCGCAUAAGAUUGUAGCUUCGCAUGAAGCAGCAAUUAAGGGAGUAAUCCGCUAUGAGAUGGACCCGCGUCGCAUUAGCUAGUUGGUGAGAUAACGGCUCACCAAGGAGACGAUGCAUAGCCGACCUGAGAGGAUGAUAGGCAACAUUGGGACUGAGACACGGCCCAGACUCCUACGGUAGGCAGCAGUGGGGAAUAUUGCACAAUGGGGGAAACCCUGAUGCAGCAACGCCGCGUGGGUGAUGGCGGUCUUCGGAUUGUAAAGCUCUGUCUUCAGGGACGAUAAUGACGGUACCUGAGGAGGAAGCCACGGCUAACUACGUGCCAGCAGCCGCCGCAG
rnacentral:rRNA from 1 species